UACGUAGGGUGCAAGCGUUGUCCGGAAUUAUUGGGCGUAAAGAGCUCGUAGGCGGUUUGUCGCGUCUGCUGUGAAAUCCCAGGGCUUAACCCUGGGCCUGCAGUGGGUACGGGCAAACUAGAGUGCGGUAGGGGAGAUCGGAAUUCCUGGUGUAGCGGUGAAAUGCGCAGAUAUCAGGAGGAACACCGGUGGCGAAAGCGGCUCACUGGACCAUAACUGACGCUGAGGCGCGAAAGCUAGGGGAGCAAACAGG
rnacentral:rRNA from 1 species